rnacentral:ribozyme from 1 species
CACGGGUAUUUACAUUCACGCAACGCGCCAAAAAGAAAAGAAAAGAACUCCUACUAUACGUCUUCAUCAUCAUUGUUGUUGUUGUUCUUCUUCUUCUUCUUUCUUCUUUUUGCUU